rnacentral:rRNA from 1 species
CAGUCGCCACGGUAAUACGUAGGGUGCGAGCGUUAAUCGGAAUUACUGGGCGUAAAGCGUGCGCAGGCGGUUCGUUAAGACAGAUGUGAAAUCCCCGGGCUUAACCUGGGAACUGCAUUUGUGACUGGCGAGCUAGAGUAUGGCAGAGGGGGGUAGAAUUCCACGUGUAGCAGUGAAAUGCGUAGAGAUGUGGAGGAAUACCGAUGGCGAAGGCAGCCCCCUGGGCCAAUACUGACGCUCAUGCACGAAAGCGUGGGGAGCAAACAGGAUUAGAUACCCCAGUAGUCCCUGUCUCUUAUAA